rnacentral:rRNA from 1 species
GUGGGGAAUCUUAGACAAUGGGCGCAAGCCUGAUCUAGCCAUGCCGCGUGAGCGAUGAAGGCCUUAGGGUUAUAAAGCUCUUUCGUGGGGGAAGAUAAUGACUGUACCCCAAGAAGAAGCCCCGGCUAACUCCGUGCCAGCAGCCGCGGUAAUACGGAGGGGGCUAGCGUUGUUCGGAAUUACUGGGCGUAAAGCGCACGUAGGCGGACUGGAAAGUCAGGGGUGAAAUCCCGGGGCUCAACCCCGGAACUGCCUUUGAAACUCCCAGUCUUGAGGUCGAGAGAGGUGGGUGGAAUUCCGAGUGUAGAGGUGAAAUUCGUAGAUAUUCGGAGGAACACCCGUGGCGAAGGCGGCCCACUGGCUCGAUACUGACGCUGAGGUGCGAAAGCGUGGGGAGCAAACAGGAUUAGAAACCCUGGUAGUCC